rnacentral:rRNA from 1 species
CCUACGGGGGGCAGCAGUGAGGAAUAUUGGUCAAUGGACGAGAGUCUGAACCAGCCAAGUAGCGUGAAGGAUGACUGCCCUAUGGGUUGUAAACUUCUUUUAUAUGGGAAUAAAAUGUUCCACGUGUGGGAUUUUGUAUGUACCAUAUGAAUAAGGAUCGGCUAACUCCGUGCCAGCAGCCGCGGUAAUACGGAGGAUCCGAGCGUUAUCCGGCUUUAUUGGGUUUAAAGGGAGCGUAGGUGGAUUGUUAAGUCAGGUGUGAAAGUUUGCGGCUCAACCGUAAAAUUGCAUUUGAAACUGGCAGUCUUGAGUACAGUAGAGGUGGGCGGAAUUCGUGGUGUAGCGGUGAAAUGCUUAGAUAUCACGAAGAACUCCGAUUGCGAAGGCAGUUCACUGGACUGCAACUGACACUGAGGCUCGAAAGUGUGGGUAUCAAACAGGAUUAGAUACCCGAGUAGUC